rnacentral:rRNA from 2 species
GCGUACCUUUUGUAUAAUGGGUCAGCGACUUAUAUUCUGUAGCAAGGUUAACCGUAUAGGGGAGCCGAAGGGAAACCGAGUCUUAACUGGGCGUUAAGUUGCAGGGUAUAGACCCGAAACCCGGUGAUCUAGCCAUGGGCAGGUUGAAGGUUGGGUAACACUAACUGGAGGACCGAACCGACUAAUGUUGAAAAAUUAGCGGAUGACUUGUGGCUGGGGGUGAAAGGCCAAUCAAACCGGGAGAUAGCUGGUUCUCCCCGAAAGCUAUUUAGGUAGCGCCUCGUGAACUCAUCUUCGGGGGUAGAGCACUGUUUCGGCUAGGGGGUCAUCCCGACUUACCAACCCGAUGCAAACUGCGAAUACCGAAGAAUGUUAUCACGGGAGACACACGGCGGGUGCUAACGUCCGUCGUGAAGAGGGAAACAACCCAGACCGCCAGCUAAGGUCCCAAAGUCACAGUUAAGUGGGAAACGAUGUGGGAAGGCUCAGACAGCCAGGAUGUUGGCUUAGAAGCAGCCAUCAUUUAAAGAAAGCGUAAUAGCUCACUGGUCGAGUCGGCCUGCGCGGAAGAUGUAACGGGGCUAAACUGUGCACCGAAGCUGCGGCAGCGACGCUUAUGCGUUGUUGGGUAGGGGAGCGUUCUGUAAGCCUGCGAAGGUGUCCUGUGAGGGAUGCUGGAGGUAUCAGAAGUGCGAAUGCUGACAUAAGUAACGAUAA